rnacentral:rRNA from 1 species
UACGUAGGGUGCGAGCGUUAAUCGGAAUUACUGGGCGUAAAGCGUGCGCAGGCGGUGAUGCAAGACAGAUGUGAAAUCCCCGGGCUCAACCUGGGAACUGCAUUUGUGACUGCAUGGCUAGAGUACGGUAGAGGGGGAUGGAAUUCCGCGUGUAGCAGUGAAAUGCGUAGAUAUGCGGAGGAACACCGAUGGCGAAGGCAAUCCCCUGGACCUGUACUGACGCUCAUGCACGAAAGCGUGGGGAGCAAACAGG